GCCAGCAUGGUGCAGUGGUUUGAGUGUUGGACUGCAGCUCUGGAGACCAGGGUUCAACUCCCAGCUUGGUCA
rnacentral:tRNA from 1 species